GACAGAGGUGCCGAGCGUUAGGCGGAAUCACUGGGCUUAAAGGGCGCGUAGGCGGGCUGUCAAGUCUGGGGUGAAAUGCCGCGGCUCAACCGUGGAACUGCCUCAGAUACUGACGGCCUCGAGGGAGGUAGGGGCGUGCGGAACUGUAGGUGGAGCGGUGAAAUGCGUUGAUAUCUACAGGAACUCCGGUGGCGAAAGCGGCGCGCUGGACCUCUUCUGACGCUGAGGCGCGAAAGCUAGGGGAGCAAACGGG
rnacentral:rRNA from 1 species